rnacentral:rRNA from 1 species
CCCUGAUGUUAGCGGCGGACGGGUGAGUAACACGUGGGUAACCUGCCUGUAAGACUGGGAUAACUCCGGGAAACCGGGGCUAAUACCGGAUGGUUGUUUGAACCGCAUGGUUCAGACAUAAAAGGUGGCUUCGGCUACCACUUACAGAUGGACCCGCGGCGCAUUAGCUAGUUGGUGAGGUAACGGCUCACCAAGGCAACGAUGCGUAGCCGACCUGAGAGGGUGAUCGGCCACACUGGGACUGAGACACGGCCCAGACUCCUACGGGAGGCAGCAGUAGGGAAUCUUCCGCAAUGGACGAAAGUCUGACGGAGCAACGCCGCGUGAGUGAUGAAGGUUUUCGGAUCGUAAAGCUCUGUUGUUAGGGAAGAACAAGUGCCGUUCAAAUAGGGCGGCACCUUGACGGUACCUAACCAGAAAGCCACGGCUAACUACGUGCCAGCAGCCGCGGUAAUACGUAGGUGGCAAGCGUUGUCCGGAAUUAUUGGGCGUAAAGGGCUCGCAGGCGGUUUCUUAAGUCUGAUGUGAAAGCCCCCGGCUCAACCGGGGAGGGUCAUUGGAAACUGGGGAACUUGAGUGCAGAAGAGGAGAGUGGAAUUCCACGUGUAGCGGUGAAAUGC